rnacentral:rRNA from 1 species
CUUAGUCGGUACUCGCGAUGCAUCUACAUUAUGGUUAGUCGUCAGCUCGUGUCGUGAGAUGUUGGGUUAAGUCCCGCAACGAGCGCAACCCUUACCCGUAGUUGCCAGCGCGUCAUGGCGGGAACUCUACGGGGACUGCCCGGGUUAACCGGGAGGAAGGUGGGGAUGAUGUCAAGUCCUCAUGGCCCUUAUGUCCAGGGCUACACACGUGCUACAAUGGGCGAUACAAACCGUUGCAAAGUCGCGAGAUGGAGCUAAUCGGAGAAAGUCGUCCUCAGUUCGGAUUGUAGUCUGCAACUCGACUACAUGAAGGUGGAAUCGCUAGUAAUCGUGUAUCAGAAUGAUACGGUGAAUACGUUCCCGGGCCUUGUACACACCGCA